rnacentral:rRNA from 1 species
UACGUAGGGUCCAAGCGUUAAUCGGAAUUACUGGGCGUAAAGCGUGCGCAGGCGGUUCGUUAAGUCAGCUGUGAAAGCCCCGGGCUCAACCUGGGAAUUGCGGUUGAAACUGGCGAACUAGAAUCUGGCAGAGGGGGGUGGAAUUCCACGUGUAGCAGUGAAAUGCGUAGAGAUGUGGAGGAACACCGAUGGCGAAGGCAGCCCCCUGGGCUGAGAUUGACGCUCAGGCACGGAAAGCGUGGGGAGCAAACAGG